CCACCCGAAUUGACGUGCCUAAUACAUGCAAGUCGAGCGGACAGAAGGGAGCUUGCUCCCGGAUGUUAGCGGCGGACGGGUGAGUAACACGUGGGUAACCUGCCUGUAAGACUGGGAUAACUCCGGGAAACCGGAGCUAAUACCGGAUAGUUCCUUGAACCGCAUGGUUCAAGGAUGAAAGACGGUUUCGGCUGUCACUUACAGAUGGACCCGCGGCGCAUUAGCUAGUUGGUGGGGUAAUGGCUCACCAAGGCGACGAUGCGUAGCCGACCUGAGAGGGUGAUCGGCCACACUGGGACUGAGACACGGCCCAGACUCCUACGGGAGGCAGCAGUAGGGAAUCUUCCGCAAUGGACGAAAGUCUGACGGAGCAACGCCGCGUGAGUGAUGAAGGUUUUCGGAUCGUAAAGCUCUGUUGUUAGGGAAGAACAAGUGCGAGAGUAACUGCUCGCACCUUGACGGUACCUAACCAGAAAGCCACGGCUAACUACGUGCCAGCAGCCGCGGUAAUACGUAGGUGGCAAGCGUUGUCCGGAAUUAUUGGGCGUAAAGGGCUCGCAGGCGGUUUCUUAAGUCUGAUGUGAAAGCCCCCGGCUCAACCGGGGAGGGUCAUUGGAAACUGGGAAACUUGAGUGCAGAAGAGGAGAGUGGAAUUCCACGUGUAGCGGUGAAAUGCGUAGAGAUGUGGAGGAACACCAGUGGCGAAGGCGACUCUCUGGUCUGUAACUGACGCUGAGGAGCGAAAGCGUGGGGAGCGAACAGGAUUAGAUACCCUGGUAGUCCACGCCGUAAACGAUGAGUGCUAAGUGUUAGGGGGUUUCCGCGCCCUUAGUGCUGCAGCUAACGCAUUAAGCACUCCGCCCUGGGGGAGUACGGUCGCAAGACUGAGACUCAUAGGGAGAUUUGACGGGUGCAAA
rnacentral:rRNA from 1 species